rnacentral:pre_miRNA from 1 species
CCCUUAACUAUUAAAAGCUUCGUUUUGGUCCGUUAACUUACUUUUUGGUUUCGUUUUGGUCCCUUAACUCAUCCUCCGUCAACCACUUUGGUCCUUUAUGUUAGGAUGAAUGUAUUAGAGUUAAGGGACCAAAAUGAAACAAAAAAAUAAGUUAAGGGACCAAAACGAAACUAAAAAAUAAGUUAAGGGAUCAAAACGAAACUUUUAAUAGUUAAGGGA